GUUGAGGGAAGAAAUCCACUGAUCCUUGAUUGAAACCCAUAAGAAUAUAAUUGGGGUCCAGCAGCUUUUCUUACCACUGUCCCUUUUUCUAGGGAGGAUUGACAUUUGGACCAGCUCAUCUAUUGCUGCAGAAGCCCUAUAAAGAACUGGUAAAUGCAGCCACUAGGAUUAUAUGUAAUAUCUAUUCAGGGACAUGAUCCAGCCCAGCAGUUCUGCUCUUGUUUCAUUUUCUCCUGUUUGAGAGAUUGUUGUUAAACUGAUGGUUUGCUCAGUUUUUUUUUUCCAUUAAAGUUACUAACAUUUAUUUUGUAUAAAAAAAUUGCUAGAGAAAAGAAAAUGUCCCCUUUCCACAACAUCAUCCCCGAAAGAGAAGUACAACAGCAAAGGAGCAACAUAUUUAUGAAACGGAUAAAUACCUGGUGCUAUGUGAAUUUGAGUCAGACUGGCCAUAACAGACACACCAGUUAGGAUGCACUUUUCCUAUGGCACACAAUGUAUUCUCUCAGAAUGGACUUUCAAAGGACCAUCAGAUGUUUACAUUUCUUCUUGUUGCCCCAAAUAGUUUUGAAUACCGAAGUAUCUCCCAGAAAACAGAGAAAGACAUGAUGCAUUACUGAUGUAAUGAAACCUUACAUUUAGGUAUCUAUGACAAGUUUGUACAAAUACCAUUUUAGAGAUAGUUGAAAUAUUGGGCUUUCAUACUUUGUAAUGCUUUGAUGUGACAAUACGUAUGCUGUUGCUAUCUAGUCUAACCUCAUUGUAGACCUGUAAUUUCCUGUUUAUGGUUAUGUCAUGAAUUGCACUGGCUUGAAUUCAGCCCGAUACUGGCUGUCCAGCUGAAAUACUCUGACUGUUAUGAUGUCCACAAAACAUUAAUUAAAUGCACUUGUAACUGACUAACUACCAAGGAGUAUGUAAAAUUAUUCGUGUAAUAAAACCCUUUGUGUAUAACUUUU